UCGUAGCAUCCUGUUUUUAUUUCAUUGAUGAAACAUCUUUUCUAUCUUUGAGGAGAUAAAGUUUUAUCAUCAUAUCUGAAUUGUGUUCAUUUUCUCCAAGUUCCUUUUUACUAAUUCAGAUUUUUGUGUUAGAGUCUUUCCUAGGCAUCUGAUCAUUCUUGAAUAUCCAUUCAUAUUUACAAGAGAGGCAUAAAAAGCUACUGGAGAAUAUACUCCCACAAAAGUCGCUGUAUGGCAAGCCUCAAGAGCAACCCAGUACAGAUGGAGCAAGAGGUCAGAGGACUCCAGGAGGAUCCUGGAAGAUGAAAACGAGGGUUACCUCCUGUGUAAGCACACUGACCGAUAAUUUCAUAGCUCCGAUGGAGAUAUGAAGACAAUGAAAAGAGGCAUCCUCGACAAAGUAAUUGGUUCUGGGACUAAGACAUGUGGAGCACGAGAGAAGAAGGAAGUGAAUACUGGCCCACUCAGCCAAAUCUGCUGACUCCACCUCUGCAGCUCUAAAAAUCAUUUGUGUAAAAAAAAAAAAAAGCUUUUGACCUCCUGUCC